rnacentral:tRNA from 1 species
UUUAGAUAGUUUAAGUCAGAAAAUUUUGGUUUGUGGUACCAAAGAUAUAGAAUUUUAUUUUAAAUCA